AAAGAUUUAUCGGAGAAGGAUCAGCCCGCGUUAGAUUAGAUAGUUGGUGGGGUAAUGGCCUACCAAGUCUACGAUCUAUAGCUGGUUUUAGAGGAUGAUCAGCAACACUGGGACUGAGACACGGCCCAGACUCCUACGGGAGGCAGCAGUGGGGAAUAUUGCACAAUGGGGGAAACCCUGAUGCAGCCAUGCCGCGUGUGUGAAGAAGGCCUUCGGGUUGUAAAGCACUUUCAGUUGUGAGGAAAAGUUAGUAGUUAAUACCUGCUAGCCGUGACGUUAACAACAGAAGAAGCACCGGCUAACUCCGUGCCAGCAGCCGCGGUAA
rnacentral:rRNA from 1 species